UACGUAGGGUGCAAGCGUUAUCCGGAAUUAUUGGGCGUAAAGAGCUCGUAGGCGGUUUGUCGCGUCUGCUGUGAAAACUGGAGGCUCAACCUCCAGCCUGCAGUGGGUACGGGCAGACCAGAGUGCGGUAGGGGAGAUUGGAAUUCCUGGUGUAGCGGUGGAAUGCGCAGAUAUCAGGAGGAACACCGAUGGCGAAGGCAGAUCUCUGGGCCGUAACUGACGCUGAGGAGCGAAAGCGUGGGGAGCGAACAGG
rnacentral:rRNA from 1 species